UACGGGGGGGGGCAAGCGUUGUUCGGAAUUACUGGGCGUAAAGGGCUCGUAGGUGGCCAACUAAGUCAGACGUGAAAUCCCUCGGCUUAACCGGGGAACUGCGUCUGAUACUGGAUGGCUUGAGUUCGGGAGAGAGAUGCGGAAUUCCAGGUGUAGCGGUGAAAUGCGUAGAUAUCUGGAGGAACACCGGUGGCGAAGGCGGCAUCCUGGACCAACAUUGACGCUGAGGAGCGAAAGCUAGGGGAGCAAACGGGG
rnacentral:rRNA from 1 species